rnacentral:rRNA from 1 species
AGCGAACGCUGGCGGCAGGCCUAACACAUGCAAGUCGAACGAACUCUUCGGAGUUAGUGGCGGACGGGUGAGUAACACGUGGGAACGUGCCUUUAGGUUCGGAAUAACUCAGGGAAACUUGUGCUAAUACCGAAUGUGCCCUUCGGGGGAAAGAUUUAUCGCCUUAGAGCGGCCCGCGUCUGAUUAGCUAGUUGGUGAGGUAAAGGCUCACCAAGGCGACGAUCAGUAGCUGGUCUGAGAGGAUGAUCAGCCACAUUGGGACUGAGACACGGCCCAAACUCCUACGGGAGGCAGCAGUGGGGAAUCUUGCGCAAUGGGCGAAAGCCUGACGCAGCCAUGCCGCGUGAAUGAUGAAGGUCUUAGGAUUGUAAAAUUCUUUCACCGGGGACGAUAAUGACGGUACCCGGAGAAGAAGCCCCGGCUAACUUCGUGCCAGCAGCCGCAGUAA